CAUAUAGUCCAUGAUUGCCUCUGUGAUGGAAAAGUUGAAUGAAAUGAAUGGGAGGAUAACAUGCUUACCACAAAUUGUAUAUAAAACUGUAGAGUAGUGGGGCCUGCCCAGAUGAUCUUACGCUCCUAUCUGCUUGGACAUGCGCAGAGGUAGCUUCAUUUUUACUUUGAUUAUACCACUAAUAAUGGAACAUUCUGUACAUAGUCAGCAGAAAUUGAAAGGACCAAGUGACGAAAAUAAUGGACACGAGGAAUGUAUCAAUGAGAGAGAUCAUUGGAAAAAGAUUUGUUGAAGCUGUUCAAAACGUUCAUGAAAUGGGCAUUGUAAUGUAUGCAACUACAAGGAGGACUCGUAACAUUUGUUUUAAAAACAAGUAACACAGAAGAAGAGAGUAAUGAAGGUUGGGCACGAGCAAAAUUAACUGUCGAUCUUCAAAGAAGUCGUGCACUACGAUUUCAGAUAAUCAAAUUAGCAUAGAAUGAGUUUUGUGA